rnacentral:rRNA from 1 species
AUUGAACGCUGGCGGCAGGCUUAACACAUGCAAGUCGAGCGGGGUGAUGGUGCUUGCACUAUCACUUAGCGGCGGACGGGUGAGUAAUGCUUAGGAAUCUGCCUAUUAGUGGGGUACAACAUCUCGAAAGGGAUGCUAAUACCGCAUACGUCCUACGGGAGAAAGCAGGGGAUCACUUGUGACCUUGCGCUAAUAGAUGAGCCUAAGUCGGAUUAGCUAGUUGGUGGGGUAAAGGCCUACCAAGGCGACGAUCUGUAGCGGGUCUGAGAGGAUGAUCCGCCACACUGGGACUGGGACACGGCCCAGACUCCUACGGGAGGCAGCAGUGGGGAAUAUUGGACAAUGGGGGGAACCCUGAUCCAGCCAUGGCGCGUGUGUGAAGAAGGCCUUAUGGUUGUAAAGCACUUUAAGCGAGGAGGAGGCUCUUUUGGUUAAUACCCAAGAUGAGUGGACGUUACUCGCAGAAUAAGCACCGGCUAACUCUGUGCCAGCCGCCGCAGUAA